rnacentral:lncRNA from 1 species
UCUAUUUCGAAUCAUGUUAAAUUGAUUGUCAGAGGCUAAUAAAUUUUGUAGUACUCUAUUUUUUUCGCAUACAUAAAAGUGAUAAAUAAAGUACUUUAUGCUUACCACAGUGGACAAUAUGUGUGUAUAUUAAGGUGUAGAAAAAAUGGGUUGAGAAUUUUGUAAAAAAAUUCUAGCAAAUUAGAGAAUCUAUUUAAACUUGAAUAACUUACCAACUAAUGACAUACUAU